CCGUAGGUCCCUUCCUUUCUUCUUCCUCCCUGGUCUUCCCUUUCGCUUCUUCUUUUUUCUCCUUUACGGUUUAAAUCCGGCGGCUCACCCGUCGAACUGGCCGUGAUACUGUCGAACUGGAGGUGCGGAGGGAUGCGUGGAACUUGUGGUGGAGCGGUGAAAUGCCCAGAUAUCACAGGGAACACCGGUGGCGAAGGCGACGCAUUGGCCGCAAUCUGACGCUGGGGCGCGAAAGCAUGGGGAGCGAACGG
rnacentral:rRNA from 1 species